AUUGGCGAAUUUGAUUGGAUGUUGCUGUGAAGGCGAGGAGAGAUUGCUGGUAGCUGAGUUCAUGCCUAAUGAGACACUCUCUAAACAUCUUUUUCAUUGGGAGAACCAGCCCAUGAAGUGGGCAAUGAGAUUGAGAGUGGCUCUCUAUCUGGCUCAAGCUUUGGAAUACUGCAGCAGUAAAGGAAGGGCCUUGUAUCAUGACCUUAAUGCUUAUAGAAUUUUGUUUGACCAGGAUGGCAAUCCAAGGCUCUCCUGCUUUGGCCUAAUGAAAAAUAGCAGAGAUGGAAAGAGCUAUAGCACAAACUUGGCAUUCACCCC
rnacentral:misc_RNA from 1 species